CCUACGGGAGGCAGCAGUAAGGAAUAUUGGUCAAUGGACGAAAGUCUGAACCAGCCAUGCCGCGUGGAGGAUGAAGGUCCUCUGGAUUGUAAACUUCUUUUAUAUGGGACGAAAAAAGGCUUUUCUAAGUCGUCUGACGGUACCAUAUGAAUAAGCACCGGCUAACUCCGUGCCAGCAGCCGCGGUAAUACGGAGGGUGCAAGCGUUAUCCGGAUUCACUGGGUUUAAAGGGAGCGUAGGUGGGUUGGUAAGUCAGUGGUGAAAUCCCCGAGCUUAACUUGGGAACUGCCAUUGAUACUAUCACUCUUGAAUACCGUGGAGGUCAGCGGAAUAUGUCAUGUAGCGGUGAAAUGCUUAGAUAUGACAUAGAACACCAAUUGCGAAGGCAGCUGGCUACACGAAUAUUGACACUGAGGCUCGAAAGCGUGGGGAUCAAACAGGAUUAGAUACCCUGGUAGUCCACGCCCUAAACUAUGGAUACUCGACAUACGCGAUACACUGUGUGUGUCUGNGNGAAGACAUAAGUAAUACCCACCCUCGGAAGUACGAGCGCGAAGAGUUAGUAAACGUAACGAAAGAAAGUUAGUACGGACGUAGAGACGUUGCCGACGGACGACGACGAGGGAGGAGGGAG
rnacentral:rRNA from 1 species